CUAGAACAUAGAGCGAUUAACGGCACACGUCAUUACGUCCCCGCGCCACGCCGUCCGACGUUCCCUACAGAAUUUCACGUAUCGACAUACAGUUGGUCUUCGUUAUGGUGUCAGUUUAUUCAUUUUGCUUUAUGCCAUUGCUGCACAACUAGCCUGCUGACUCAAGUUCAAGCUCCAGGACUAUUCUCAGAACACAGAUGACUAACUCAGCGCCAGAUGCCCUCUGUAUGUUGCUUUCUUCACAUUCAGAACUGGGUCAGCCAUGUGAAAUGACUCUGUCAGCGCCUAUACCUCAUAUUCUAAUCACUGCUCAUCACUCAACUCGAUUACUACAGUGCAUCUGUGGAUCUGAUGAUGUGGUGCUUUGCUGUUGUGCUUUGCAGUGCUGUUACAGGCUAAAAGAGCAGUCUCAAGCUGAGACAGCAGCCUUGGGACAAAAAUGGGUGAAGAGAAAUUGUCAUUGUCACCACCCACUCACAGACAUCCAAGAAGAAGCCGGUGAAGAAGCUGGUGAUGGCUAUGGCGUUGUUUGCUCGUUCAGUGUCUUAUGUCACAUUUUUAAGUGAACCACCUUAACCGUCCACACCCCAUUAUUCCUUUGACAUUGUUGCGAUAUUGGCAUUAAUUUAAUUAAUAAUGGCAAAAUAUGUUCUUGCGUGGGUAGCACUUAUGCACACACAUGCUGUGUGGGUUGGAGAGAAAGUGACUUACGCUACUCGUCACUUAUUUUUGGAUAAGAUAGAUUGGGAACUCUAGGUGAGAAAUCACCAUUUUAUAUUUCCUCGAGUAGAAAGGUGUGGGUGGGUGUUGUUUAUGCAAGACAUUUCUUUCACAGUGGCACAUUUGUUGACAUAAACAUGGACAAUUAAUCAAAUUAACAACUUACCAUAUAAAGCACGGAUUAAAGACUGCUUUUUAGUCUAGUCGAUUAGGUUUCCGGGUAAGCAAAACAUGCACAUUGGGCAGCACAUUGGAGCUUUUAUCUGCCCAGUGGGCUAGCUAGUGAAUUUAUGAUUUGUCCACCGCUUUGUAAUAAUGUGCAUCUUCAGAAAGUCUCACUUUAAGCCUUCUGAAAUUAAUAAUGAGCUGUAUUGGUUCUGUAGUUUGAGUGUCCAGUCCACAAUGCAUCAGCUUAUUUAUA